rnacentral:rRNA from 1 species
CCUACGGGUGGCUGCAGUCGAGAAUCUUUCACAAUGGGGGCAACCCUGAUGGAGCGACGCCGCGUGGAGGAUAAGGUCUUCGGAUUGUAAACUCCUGUCAUGUGUGAACAAGGUUGCAGGGUUAAUAGUCUUGCAAAUUGAUGGUAACACAAGAGGAAGAGACGGCUAACUCUGUGCCAGCAGCCGCGGUAAUACAGAGGUCUCAAGCGUUGUUCGGAAUCACUGGGCGUAAAGGGUGCGUAGGUGGCGUGGUAAGUCAGAUGUGAAAGCCCGGG